GCAAGUCGAACGGGGAAUAUUUAAGCUUGCUUUGAUAUUUCUAGUGGCGAACGGGUGAGUAACACGUGAGUUACCUGCCCCAAAGUGGGGGAUAGCCUCUCGAAAGAGAGAUUAAUACCGCAUGUGACCGCAAGGUUAAAGGUGCUUCGGCACCGCUUUGGGAUGGGCUCGCGGCCUAUCAGCUAGUUGGUGAGGUAAAGGCUCACCAAGGCGAUGACGGGUAGCUGGUCUGAGAGGAUGAUC
rnacentral:rRNA from 1 species